CGAGCAUGACGGCCCAGGACAGGGCCAGGGUGGUGGAGCUCUGGAUCCAGGUGGCCAAGGAAUGCCAAGGUCUGAGGAACCUUUCCUCACUCCAUGCGAUCCUCUGGGCUCUGCAGGGCCCCUCCAUUCAGCGUUUAAAAGAGACAUGGAGAUGGGUGUCCAGGAAGAACUGUACAAAACUUAAAAAGUUGAUGAAAACAAACCAGCGGGAGAGCAGGAAGCUGCUCAAGGAGGUGAG